rnacentral:rRNA from 1 species
UACAUGGGGUGCAAACGUUGCUCGGAAUUAUUAGGCGUAAAGCGCGCGUAGGCGGUUACUCAAGUCGGAUGUGAAAGCCCUCGGCUUAACUGAGGAAGUGCACCCGAAACUGAGUAGCUAGAGUACCAAAGAGGGUCGCGGAAUUCCCGGUGUAGAGGUGAAAUUCGUAGAUAUCGGGAGGAACACCGGUGGCGAAGGCGGCGACCUGGGUGGAUACUGACGCUGAGGCGCGAAAGCGUGGGGAGCAAACAGG